CGAGCGUGCUCAUUUGAGGCAGGGAUGCUACGACCCUUCCACAUACCAGUUCUAGUUGCUUUGCAAGUUCGGUGGUUUUCCCAGAGGGCGUCCCGGCAUUUCUGACAGACACUCACCGAUGUAGGGUCACCUUUGGGUGCACUAUUAUCGAGUCAUUUUAUUUUGGACUGCUGUAGACUUAUUGCUCUGAACUUAGUGUCUUACUUACGCUAGCACACUUACUUUGACCUUGUAUGCUAGUUUUUAAUUACUCGUACUUUUAUAUUACUAUUCUAUUCGCUUC